GAAGGGUGCAAGCGUUACUCGGAAUUACUGGGCGUAAAGCGUGCGUAGGUGGUUCGUUAAGUCUGAUGUGAAAGCCCUGGGCUCAACCUGGGAACUGCAUUGGAUACUGGCGACCUAGAGUGCGGUAGAGGGUAGCGGAAUUCCCGGUGUAGCAGUGAAAUGCGUAGAUAUCGGGAGGAACAUCCGUGGCGAAGGCGGCUACCUGGACCAGCACUGACACUGAGGCACGAAAGCGUGGGGAGCAAACAGGAUUAGAUACCCUGGUAGUCCACGCCCUAAACGAUGCGAACUGGAUGUUGGGUGCAACUUGGCACUCAGUAUCGAAGCUAACGCGUUAAGUUCGCCGCCUGGGAAGUACGGUCGCAAGACUGAA
rnacentral:rRNA from 1 species